CCUACGGGUGGCAGCAGUGGGGAAUAUUGCUCAAUGGGCGCUAGCCUGAUCCAGCGAAGUAGCGUGAGGGAUGACUGACCUCUGUGUUGUAAACUUCAUUUAUAUGGGAAUAAAGUGCAGUAUGUAUACUGCUUUGCAUGUACCUUAUGAUUCCGGAUAGGCUAACUCCGUGCCAGCAGCCGCGGUUAUACGGAGGAUCCGAGCGUUAUCCGGAUUUAUUGGGUUUAAAGGGAGCGUAGGCGGAUUGUUAAGUCAGUUGUGAAAGUUUGCGGCGCAACCGUAAAAUUGCAGUUGAUACUGGCAUCCUGGAGUACAGGAGAGGUAGGCGGAAUUCGUGGUGUAGCGGUGAAAUGCGUAGAUAUCACGAAGAACUCCGAUUGCGAAGGCAGCCUGCUGGACUGUAACUGACGCUGAGGCUCGAAAGUGUGGGUAUCAAACAGGAUUAGAUACCCCUGUAGUC
rnacentral:rRNA from 1 species